GGGUGAGCAGAACUCAGGGGUCCCCGAGCAGAGGAAGCGCCUGGGAGAGGCUGGAGGCGAUGGAAGUUUCUGGUCCCUGGCCUGGGCAGUUUUCCAUUGACAGCCCGAGGGGUGGAGAGGGUGCGGCCUGAUGGUGAUCCUCUCUGGGCUCACAAGGGGUCCCCUGGGGAAGGGCGUGGAUGUCACCCAGGAAGUGAAUCCCCUCCACGAUGAAGGGAUAAGAGAGCGGCUGAGAGUUGGAGUUUGAGCGAACACUGGU